UUUUAUUCAUUAUUUUUCAACUUAUUUACAAGAGAGUUUUUUUUUUGACCGGAAUUACUAUUCCGGCCGGAAUACCGGAAUUUCGGCCGGAAUUGACCGGAACGGCUGGAAUUUGACCCGGAACGGAAUAGAUACCUAUCCCAUUCCGGCCGGAACGGAACGGAUUUUAAAACAUUGGUUUGAAUAAAUAAUUCCAAAGGGUCAGGCAAUGCCAUGAAAUGUGUUUGAGCUAAGGCUUUGUGAUUUUGUUUAUAUUCUCUUCUGCUUCUUAAUAUCCCCCUUGCUUUUCAUUUGUUUAUCUGCAUUGGGUGUAUUGUCAGGCUACAUCUGGGUGGUCUAAAUGAAUAAUUUCAAGGGGUCAUGUAGUGCCAUGAAAAGGGUUUGAGCUAAGGCUAAGCGACCUUUUUCUUUAUGUUCUCUUCUGCUUCUCAAUUUCCCAAAUGCUUUUCGUUUGCUUAUAUAUUUUUUGUGUAUUGAUAGGCUGCAUCUGGGUGGCUACGUGAUUUUGUUCCUUGUGUUCUCUUCUGCUCUCAAUCUCCCACAUGGUUUUCAUUUGCCUAUCUACUUUGUGUGUAUUGUCAGGCUGCAUUUGCCGGGUUUGAAUAAAUAAUUCCAAAGGGUCAGGCAAUGGCAUGAAAUGGGUUUGAGCUAAGGCUUUGUAAUUUUGUUAAUGUUCUCUUCUCCUUUUCAAUAUCCCUCUUGCAUUUCAAUUUUUUAUCCACAUUGUGUAUUGUCAGGCUGCAUCUGGGUGGCCUGAAUGAAUAAUUUGAAGGGGUCAUGCGAAACGGGUUUGACCUAAGGCUACCCGAUCUUGUUCUUUAUGUUAUCUUCUGCUUCUCAAUUUCCCACAUGGUUUUCAUUAGCCUAUCUAAUUUGUGUGUAUUGUCAGGCUGCAUUUGCGUGGUUUGAAUAAAUAAUUCCAAAGGGUCAGGCAAUGCCAUGAAAUGGGUUUGAGCUAAGGCUUUGUGAUUUUGUUUAUGUUCUCUUCUGUUUCUCAGUAUCCACUUUGCUUUUCGUUUGUUUAUCUACAUCGUGUGUAUUGUCAGGCUGCAUCUUGGUGGCCUGAAUGAAUAUUUUCAAGCGGUCAUGCUGUGCCAUGAAAUGGGUUUGACCUAAGGCUACACAAUCUUGUUCUUUAUGUUCUCAUCUGCUUCUCAAUUUCCCACAUGGUUUUCAUUUGCCUAUCUACUUUGUGUGUAUUGUCAGGCUGCAUUUGCGUGGUUUGAAAAACUAAUUCCAAAGGGUCAGGCAAUGCCAUGAAAUGUGUUUGAGCUAAGGCUUUGUGAUUUUGUUUAUGUUCUCUUCUGCUUCUUAAUAUCCCCCUUGCUUUUCAUUUGUUUAUCUGCAUUGUGUGUAUUGUCAGGCUAAAUCUGGGUGGUCUAAAUGAAUAAUUUCAAGCGGUCAUCUAGUGCCAUGAAAAGGGUUUGAGCUAAGGCUAAGGGAUCUUGUUCUUUAUGUUCUCUUCUGCUUCUCAAUUUCCCAAAUGCUUUUCGUUUGCUUAUAUAUUUUUUGUGUAUUAAUAGGCUGCAUCUGGGUGGCCACGUGAUUUUGUUCCUUGUGUUCUCUUCUGCUCUCAAUAUCCCACAUGGUUUUCAUUUGCCUAUCUACUUUGUGUGUAUUGUCAGGCUGCAUUUGCGGGGUUUGAAUAAAUAAUUCCAAAGGGUCAGGCAAUGGCAGGAAAUGGGUUUGAGCUAAGGCUUUGUAAUUUUGUUAAUGUUCUCUUCUCCUUUUCAAUAUCCCGCUUGCGUUUCAAUUUUUUAUCCACAUUGCGUGUAUUGUCAGGCUGCAUCUGGGUGGCCUGAAUGAAUAAUUUGAAGGGGUCAUGCAGUGGCAUGAAAUGGGUUUGACCUAAGGCUAAGCGAUCUUGUUCUUUAUGUUAACUUCUGCUUCUCAAUUUCCCACAUGGUUAUCAAUUGCCUAUCUACUUUGUGUGUAUUGUCAGGCUACAUUUGCGUGGUUUGAAUAAAUAAUUCCAAAGGGUCAGGCAAUGCCACAAAAUGGGUUUGAGCUAAGCCUUUGUGAUUUUGUUUAUGUUCUCUUCUAUUUCUCAAUAUCCAACUUGCUUUCCAUUUGUUUAUCCGCAUUGUGUGUAUUGUCAGGCUGCAUCUAGGUGGCCUGAAUGAAUAAUUUGAAGGGGUCAUGCAUGCCAUGAAAUGGGUUUUGACCUAAGGCUAUGCAAUCUUGUUCUUUAUGUUCUCAUCUGCUUCUCAAUUUCCCACAUGGUUUUCAUUUGCCUAUCUACUUUGUGUGUAUUGUCAGGCUGCAUUUGCAUGGUUUGAAUAAAUACUUCCAAAGGGUCAGGCAAUGCCACAAAAUGGGUUUGAGCUAAGGCUUUGUGAUUUUGUUAAUGUUCUCUUCUGCUUUUCAAUAUCCCCCUUGCGUUUCAAUUUUUUAUCCACAUUGUGUAUUGUCAGGCUGCAUUUGGGUGGCCUUAAUGAAUAAUUUGAAGGGGUCAUGCAGUGCCAUGAAAUGGGUUUGACCCAAGGCUAAGCGAUCUUGUUCUUUAUGUUAUCUUCUGCUUCUCAAUUUCCCACAUGGUUUUCAUUAGCCUAUCCACUUUGUGUGUAUUGUCAGGCUGCAUUUGCGUGGUUUGAAUAAAUAAUUCCAAAGGGUCAGGCAAUGCCACGGAAUGGGUUUGAGCUAAGGCUUUGUAAUUUUGUUAAUGUUCUCUUCUUCUUUUCAAUAUCCCUCUUGCGGUUCAAUUUUUUAUCCAUAUUGUGUGUCUUGUCAGGCUGCAUCCUGGUGGCCUGAAUGAAUAAUUUGAAGGGGUCAUGCAAUGCCUUGAAAUGGGUUUGAGCUAAGGCUUUGUGAUUUUGUUAAUGUUCUCUUCUGCUUUACAAUAUCCCCCUUGCGUUUCAAUUUUUUAUCCACAUUGUGUAUUGUCAGGCUGCAUUUGGGUGGCCUUAAUGAAUAAUUUGAAGGGGUCAUGCAGUGCCAUGAAAUGGGUUUGACCCAAGGCUAAGCGAUCUUGUUCUUUAUGUUAUCUUCUGCUUCUCAAUUUCCCACAUGGUUUUCAAUUGCCUAUCUACUUUGUGUGUAUUGUCAGGCUGCAUUUGCGUGGUUUGAACAAAUAAUUCCAAAGGGUCAGGCAAUGCCACGAAAUGGGUUUGAGCUGAGCCUUUUAGAUUUAGUUUAUGUUCUCCUGUUUCUCAAUAUCCACCUUGCUUUUCAUUUGUUUAUCCACAUUGUGUGUAUCGUCAGGCUGCGUCUAGGUGGCCUGAAUGAAUAAUUUGAAGGGGUCAUGCAAUGCCAUGAAAUGGGUUUGACCUAAGGCUAAGCGAUCUUGUUGUUUAUGUUAUCUUCUGCUUCUCUAUUUCCCACAUGGUUUUCAAUUGCCUAUCUACUUUGUGGGUAUUGCCAGGCUGCAUUUCCGUGGUUUGUAUAAAUAAUUCCAAAGGGUCAGGUAAUGCCAUGAAAUGGGUUUGAGCUAAGCUUUUUUGAUUUUGUUUAUGUUCUCCUGUUCCUCAAUAUCCACCUUGCUUUUCAUUUGUUUAUCCGCAUUGUGUGUAUUGUCAGGCUGCAUCUGGGUGGCCUGAAUGAAUAAUUUGAAGGGGUCAUGCAAUGCCAUGAAAUGGGUUAGGCUGCAUUUGCGUGGUUUGAAAAAAUAAUUCCAAAGGGUCAGGCAAUGCCACGAAAUGGGUUUGAGCUAAGGCUUUCAGAUUUUGUUUAUGUAAUCUUCUGUUUCCCAAUAUCCACCUUGCUUUUCGUUUGUUUAUCCACAUUGUGUGUAUUGUUAGGCUGCAUCUGGGUGGCCUGAAUGAAUAAUUUGAAGGGGUCAUGGAAUGCCAUGAAAUGGGUUUGAGCUAAGGCUAAGCGAUCUUGUUCUUUAUGUUCUCUUCUGCUUCUCAAUUUCCCAAAUGCUUUUUGUUUGCGUAUAUAUUUUUUGUGUAUUGAUAGGCUGCAUCUGGGUGGCUACGUGAUUUUGUUCCUUGUGUUCUCUUCUGCUCUCAAUCUCCCACAUGGUUUUCAUUUGCCUAUCUACUUUGUGUGUAUUGUCAGGCUGCAUUUGCGGGGUUUGAAUAAAUAAUUCCAAAGGGUCAGGCAAUGGCAUGAAAUGGGUUUGAGCUAAGGCUUUGUAAUUUUGUUAAUGUUCUAUUCUCCUUUUCAAUAUCCCUCUUGCGUUUCAAUUUUUUAUCCACAUUGUGUGCAUUGUCAGGCUGCAUCUGGGUGGCCUGAAUGAAUAAUUUGAAGGGGUCAUGCAGUGGCAUGAAAUGGGUUUGACCUAAGGCUAAGCGAUCUUGUUCUUUAUGUUAACUUCUGCUUCUCAAUUUCCCACAUGGUUUUCAAUUGCCUAUCUACUUUGUGUGUAUUGACAGGCUGCAUUUGCGUGGUUUGAAUAAAUAAUUCCAAAGGGUCAGGCAAUGCCACGAAAUGGGUGUGAGCUAAGGCUUUGUGAUUUUGUUUAUGUUCUCUUCUGUUUCUCAGUAUCCACUUUGCUUUUCGUUUGCUUAUCUACAUCGUGUGUAUUGUCAGGCUGCAUCUUGGUGGCCUGAAUGAAUAUUUUCAAGGGGUCAUGCUGUGCCAUGAAAUGGGUUUGACCUAAGGCUACGCAAUCUUGUUCUUUAUGUUCUCAUCUGCUUCUCAAUUUCCCACAUGGUUUUCAUUUGCCUAUCUACUUUGUGUGUAUUGUCAGGCUGCAUUUGCGUGGUUUGAAUAAAUACUUCCAAAGGGUCAGGCAAUGCCACAAAAUGGGUUUGAGCUAAGGCCUUGUGAUUUUGUUAAUGUUCUCUUCUGCUUUUCAAUAUCCCCCUUGUGUUUCAAUUUUUUUAUCCACAUUGUGUAUUGUCAGGCUGCAUUUGGGUGGCCUUAAUGAAUAAUUUGAAGGGGUCAUGCAGUGCCAUGAAAUGGGUUUGACCCAAGGCUAUGCGAUCUUGUUCUUUAUGUUAUCUUCUGCUUCUCAAUUUCCCACAUGGUUUUCAUUAGCCUAUCUACUUUGUGUGUAUUGUCUGGCUGCAUUUGCGUGGUUUGAAUAAAUAAUUCCAAAGGGUCAGGCAAUGCCAUGAAAUGGGUUUGAGCUUAGCCUUUGUGAUUUUGUUUAUGUUCUCUUCUGUUUCUCAGUAUCCGCUUUGCUUUUCGUUUGCUUAUCUACAUUGUGUGUAUUGUCAGGCUGCAUCUUAGUGGCCUGAAUGAAUAUUUCAAGGGGUCUUGCUGUGCCAUGAAAUGGGUUUGACCUAAGGCUACUCGAUCUUGGUUCUUUAUGUUCUCAUCUGCUUCUUAAUUUCCCACAUGGUUUUCAUUUGCCUAUCUACUUUGUGUGUAUUGUCAGGCUGCAUUUGCGUGGUUUGAAAAAAUAAUUCCAAAGGGUCAGGCAAUGCCACGAAAUGGGUUUGAGCUAAGGCUUUGUAAUUUUGUUAAUGUUCUCUUCUGCUGUUCAAUAUCUGCCUUGCGUUUCAAUUUUUUUAUCCACAUUGUGUGUAUUGUCAGGCUGCAUCUGGGUGGCCUGAAUCAAUAAUUUGCAGGGGUCAUGCAAUGCCAUGAAAUGGGUUUGACCUAUGGCUAAGCGAUGUAGUUCUUUAUGUUAUCUUCUGCUUCUCAAUUUCCCACAUGGUUUUCAAUUGCCUAUCUACUUUGUGGGUAUUGUCAGGUCGCAUUUCCGUGGUAUGAAUAAAUAAUUCCAAAUGGUCAGGAAAUGCCACGAAAUGGGUUUGAGCUAAGCCUUUGUGAUUUUUUUUUAUGUUCUCCUGUUUCUCAAUAUCCACCUUGCUUUUCAUUUCUUUAUCCACAUUGUGUGUAUUGUCAGGCUGCAUCUAGGUGGCCUGAAUGAGUAAUUUGAAGGGGUCAUGCAAUGCCAUGAAAUGGGUUUGACCUAAGGCUAAGCGAUCUUGCACUUUAUAUUCUCUUCGGCUUCUCAAUUUCCCGCAUGGUUUUCAUUUGCCUAUCUACUUUGUGUGUAUUGUCAGGCUGCAUUUGCGUGGUUUGAAUAAAUAAUUCGAAAGGGUCAGGCAAUGUCAUGAAAUGGGUUUGAGAUAAGACUUUGUGAUUUUGUUUAUGUUUUCUUCUGUUUCUCAAUAUCAACCCUGCUUUUCAUUUGUUUAUUCACAUUGUGUGUAUUGUCAGGUUCCAUCUAGGUGGCCUGAAUGAAUAAUUUGAAGGGGUCAUGCAAUGCCAUGAAAUGGGUUUGACCUAAGGCUAAGCAAUCUUGCUCUUUAGAUUCUCUUCUGCUUCUCAAUUCCCCAAAUGGUUUUCAUUCGCCUAUCUACUUUGUGUGUAUUGUCAGGCUGCAUUUGCGUGGUUUGAAUAAAUAAUUCCAAAGGGUCAGGCAAUGCCACGGAAUGGGUUUGAGCUGAGUCUUUGAGAUUUAGUUUAUGUUAUCCUGUUUCUCAAUAUCCACCUUGCUUUUCAUUUGUUUAUCCACGUUGUGUAUCGUCAGGCUGCAUCUAGGUGGCCUGAAUGAAUAAUUUGAAGGGGUCAUGCAAUGCCAUGAAAUGGGUUUGACCUAAGGCUAAGCGAUGUUGUUUUUUAUUUUAUCUUCUGCUUUUCAAUUUCCCACAUUGUUUUGAAUUGCCUAUCUACUUUGUGGGUAUUGUCAGGCCGCAUUUCCGUGGUUUGGAUAAAUAAUUCCAAAGGGUCAGGCAAUGCCACGAAAUUGGUUUGAGCCAAGCCUUUGUGAUUUUGUUUAUGUUCUCCUGUUUCUCAAUAUCCACCUUGCUUUUCAUUUGUUUAUCCACAUUGUGUGUAUUGUCAUCUGCAUCUGGGUGGCCUGAAUGAAUAAUUUGAAGGGGUCAUGCAAUGCCAUGAAAUGGGCUUGACCUGAGGCUAAGCAAUCUUGCUGUUUAUCUUCUCUUCUGCUUCUCAAUUCCCCACAUGGUUUUCAUUUGCCUAUCUACUUUGUGUGUAUUGUCAGGCUGGAUUUGCGUGGGUUGAAAAAUAAUUCCAAAGGGUCGGGCAAUGCCACGAAAUGGGUUUGAGCUAAGGCUUUCAGAUUUUGUUUAUGUUAUCUUCUGUUUCUCAAUAUCAACCUUGCUUUUCAUUUGUUUAUCCGCAUUGUGUGUAUUGUCAGGCUGCAUCUGGGUGGCCUGAAUGAAUAAUUUGAAGGGGACAUGCAAUGCCAUGAAAUGGGUUUGACCUAAGGCUACGCGAUCUUGUUCUUUAUGUUCUAAUUUGCUUCUCAAUUUCGUACAUGGUUUUCAUUUGCCCAUCUAGUUUGUAUGUAUUGUCAGGCUGCAUUUGCGUGGUUUGAAUAAAUAAUUCCAAAGGGUCAGGCAAUGCCACGAAAUGGGUUUGAGCAAAGGCUUUGUGAUUUUGUUAAUGUUCUCUUCUGCUUUUCAAUAUCCGCCUUGCGUUUAAAUAUUUUUUCCACAUUGUGUUUAUUGUCAGGCAGCAUCUGUGUGGCCUGAAUGAAUAAUUUGAAGCGGUCAUGCAAUGCCAGGAAAUGGGUUUGACCUAAGGCUACGCGAUCUUGUUCUUUAUGUUCUAAUUUGCUUCUCAAUUUAGCACAUGGUUUUCAUUUGCCCAUCCACUUUGUAUGUAUUGUCAGGCUGCAUUUGCGUGGUUUGAAUAAAUAAUUCCAAAGGGUCAGGCAAUGCCAUGAAAUGGGUUUGAGCUAAGGCUUUGUGAUUUUGUUUAUGUUCUCUUCUGUUUCUCAGUAUCCACUUUGCUUUUCGUUUGUUUAUCUACAUCGUAUGUAUUGUCAGGCUGCAUCUUGGUGGCCUGAAUGAAUAUUCUCAAGCGGUCAUGCUGUGCCAUGAAAUGGGUUUGACCUAAGGCUACGCGAUCUUGUUCUUUAUGUUCUCAUCUGCUUCUCAAUUUCCCACAUGGUUUUCAUUCGCCUUUCUACUUUGUGUGUAUUGUCAGGCUGCAUUUGCGUGGUUUGGAUAAAUAAUUCCAAAGGGUCAGGCAAUGCCACAUAAUGGGUUUAAGCUAAGGCUUUGUAAUUUUGUUAAUGUUCUCUUCUGCUUUUCAAUAUCCCCCUUGCGUUUCAAUUUUUUAUCCACAUUGUGUGUAUUGUCAGGCUGCAUAUGGGGGCCUGAAUGAAUAAUUUCAAGGGGUCAUGCAAUGCCAUGUUCUUUAUGUUAUCUUCUGCUUCUCAACUUCCCACAUGCUUUUCGUGUGUGUUUAUCUAUUUUCAGGCUGCAUGUGGGUGGCCUGAAUGAAUAAUUUCAAGGGGUCAUGUUUUGCUUUGAAAUGUGGUUGAGCUAAGGCGUUCUUUAUAUUCUCUUCAGCUUCUCAAUUUCCCGCAUGGUUUUCAUUUGCCUGUCGACUUUUUGUGUAUUGUCAGGCUGCAUUUGCGUGGUUUGAAUAAAUUUUUCCAAAGGGUCAGGCAAUGCCAUGAAAUGGGUUUGAGCUAAGGCUUUGUGAUUUUGUUUAUGUUCUCUUCUGUUUCUCAGUAUCCACUUUGCUUUUCGUUUGCUUAUCUACAUCGUGUGUAUUGUCAGGCUGCAUCUUGGUGGCCUGAAUGAAUAUUUUCAAGGGCUCAUGCUGUGCCAUGAAAUGGGUUUGACCUAAGGCUACCCGAUCUUGUUCUUUAUGUUAUCUUCUGCUUCUCAAUUUCCCACAUGGUUUUCAUUCGCCUAUCUACUUUGUGUGUAUUGUCAGGCUGCAUUUGCGUGGUUUGAAUAAAUAAUUCCAAAGGGUCUGGCAAUACCAUGAAAUGGGUUUGAGCUAAGCCUUUGUGAUUUUGUUUAUGUUCUCUUCUGUUUCACAGUAUCCACUUUGCUUUUCGUUUGCUUAUCUACAUCGUGUGUAUUGUCUGGCUGCAUCUUGGUGGCCUGAAUGAAUAUUUUCAAGGGGUCGUGCUGUGCCAUGAAAUGGGUUUGACCUAAGGCUACCCGAUCUUGUUCUUUAUGUUCUUAUCUGCUUCUCAAUUUCCCACAUGGUUUUCAUUUGCCUAUCUACUUUGUGUGUAUUGUCAGGCUGCAUUUGUGUGGUUUGAAAAAAUAAUUCCAAAGGGUCAGGCAAUGCCACGAAAUGGGUUUGAGCUAAGGCUUUGUAAUUUUGUUAAUGUUCUCUUCUGCUUUUCAAUAUCUCCCUUGCGUUUCAAUUUUUUUAUCCACAUUGUGUGUAAUGUCAGGCUGCAUCUGGGUGGCGUGAAUGAAUAAUUUGCAGGGGUCAUGCAAUGCCAUGAAAUGGGUUUGACCUAUGGCUAAGCGAUGUAGUUCUUUAUGUUAUCUUCUGCUUCUCAAUUUCCCACAUGGUUUUCAAUUGCCUAUCUACUUUGUGGGUAUUGUCAGGCUGCAUGUCCGUGGUUUGAAUAAAUAAUUCCAAAUGGUCAGGAAAUGCCACGAAAUGGGUUUGAGCUAAGGCUUUGUGAUUUUGUUUUUGUUCUCCUGUUUCUCAGUAUCCACCUUGCUUUUCAUUUCUUUAUCCGCAUUGUGUGUAUUGUCAGGCUGCAUCUAGGUGGCCUGAAUGAAUAAUUUGAAGGGGUCAUGCAAUGCCAUGAAAUGGGUUUGACCUAAGGCUAAGCGAUCUUGCACUUUAUAUUCUCUUCAGCUUCUCAAUUUCCCUCAUCAUUUGCCUAUUUACUUUGUGUGUAUUGUCAGGCUGCAUUUGCGUGGUUUGAAUAAAUAAUUCCAAAGGGUCAGGCAAUGCAAUGAAAUGGGUUUGAGAUAAGGCUUUGUGAUUUUGUUUAUGUGUUCUUCUGUUUCUCAAUAUCAACCUUGCUUUUUUUUUGUUUAUUCACAAUGUGUGUAUUGUCAGGUUCCAUCUAGGUGGCCUGAAUGAAUAAUUUGAAGGGGUCAUGCAAUGCCAUGAAAUGGUUUUGACCUAAGGCUAAGCGAUCUUGUUGUUUCUCUUCUGUGUCUCAAUUUCCCACAUGCUUUUCGUUUGCUUAUUACUUUAUACUUUUUGUGUAUUGACCGGCUGCAUCUGCGCGGCUAUGUGAUUUUGUUCCUUGUGUUCUCUGCUGCUUCUGAAUAUCCCCCUUGCUUUUCAUUUGUUUAUCCACAUUGUGUGUAUUGUCAGGCUGCGUCUGGGUGGCCUGGAUGAAUAAUUUGAAGGGGUCAUGCAAUGCCAUGAAAUGGGUUUGACCUGAGGCUAUGCGAUCUUGUUCUUUCUCUUCUGCUUCUCAAUUUCCCACAUGCUUUUCGUUUGCUUGUUACUUUAUACUUUGUGUAUUGACCCGCUGCAUCUGCGUGGCUACGUGAUUUUGUUCUGUGAGUUCUCUGCUGCUUCCCUAUUUUCCUCAUGCUUUUCAUUUGUAUAUAUACACUGUUUAUUGUCUGACUGCAUUUGCGUCGCCUAAAUAAAUUAUUCCAAGGGAUCAAGAAAUGCCUGGAAAUGGGUUUUAACUAAGCCAUUCUUUAUGUUCUCAUAUGCUUCUCAAUUUCCCACAUGUUUUCAUUUGUUUAUGUACCUUGUGUGUAUUGUCAGGUUGCAUCUGUGUGGCCCAUCUGUGUGGCCUAAAUUAAUAAUUUCAAGGGGUCAUGAAUGCCAUGAAAUUGGUUUCAGCUAAGGUGUUCUUUAUUGAUGUUCUCUGCCUCUCAAUUUCCCACAAUUUGCUUAUCAUGUAUUUUGAAAUUGGUUUCAGCUAAGGUGUUCUUUAUUGAUGUUCUCUGCCUCUCAAUUUCCCACAAUUUGCUUAUCAUGUAUUGUCAGGCUGCAUUUUCGUGGUUUUAAUAAAUAAUUCGAGGGGGUCUGGCAAUGAAAUGAAUUGGGUUUAAGCUAAGGCUACAUGUUUUGUUUUUUAUGUUUUCUUAUGAUUCUCAAUUUCCCACAUGCUUGUCAUAUAUGUACUUUGUGCGUAUUGACAGGCUGCAUCUGCAUGGCCUAGAUAAAUAAUUCCAAGGGUUCAGGCAAUGCCGUCAAAUUGGUUUGAGCUAAGGCUAUGUGAUUUUGUUCUUUAUUUUCUCUUCUGCUUCUCGCCCAACUGAAGCGAGGGCGGGCACAGAACGUUGGGGUAAUGCAGCACCUAAAAAUUUCAAUCUUACAGGCCAAUAUUCCAAGCUGAGACUGGGUCAGAUCUGGCUCUCGAGUCAGUUCUCGCUUCAGAGAGAACGUCAACGUGCGUCUCACGGUGCAAAGAAAUCUUUCCGUUCUCGACAGUGGAAGAAGGUCUAUGGGCAGGGCUGCUUUUCUAAGAACCCGAACACAUUUUUUUCUGAUUAAAAAAAAAAAAAAAAAAACUACUCUGCUACUCAAUUUUCAUGCUCCUUAUGUUUAUCUACAUUGUGUGUAUUGUCAGGCUGCAUCUGCAUGGCCUAAAUAAAUAAUCCCAAGGGGGUCAGGCAAUGCCAUGAAAAGGGUUUGAGCUAAGCCUAGGUUAUUUUGUUCUUUUUUGUUCUCUUCCGCUUCUCAAUUUCUCACACGCUUUUCAUGUGUUUAUCUACAUUUUGUGUAUUGUGUCGGGCUGCUUCUGGGUGUCCUAAAUGAAUAAUUUCAUGUGCCAAGAAAUGGGUUUGAGCUAAGGUGUUCUUUCCGUUCUCUUCUGCAUCUGAGUGGCCUAAACAAAUAAUUCCAAGGGGUCAGGCAAUGACUGGAAAUGGGUUUGAGCUAAGGCAUUCUUUAUGUUCUCUUCUGCUUCGCAAUUUUCCACAUGCUAUUCAUUUGCCUAUCUACUUUGUGUGUAUUGCCAGGCUGCAUUUGCGUAGGUGUUCUUUCCGUUCUCUUCUGCAUCUGAGUGGCCUAAACAAAUAAUUCCAAGGGGUCAGGCAAUGACUGGAAAUGGGUUUGAGCUAAGGCAUUCUUUAUGUUCUCUUCUGCUUCGCAAUUUUCCACAUGCUAUUCAUUUGCCUAUCUACUUUGUGUGUAUUGCCAGGCUGCAUUUGCGUAGGUUAAAUAAAUAAUUCUAAGGGGUCAGGCAAUGCCAUGAAAUGGGACACUAUUUGAUUUUGUUCUUUUUUGUUCACUUCUGCUUCUCAAUUUUCCACAUGCAUUUCAUGUGUUUAUCUACAUUGCGUGUAUUGUCAAGCUCCAUCUGGGUGGCCUAAAUGAAAUAAUUUCAAGCGGUCAUGCAAUGCCAUGAAAUGUGUUUAAGCUUUAAGGCGUUGUUUAUGUUCUCUUCUGCUUCUUAUUUUCCCACAUGGUUUUCAUUUGCCUAUGUACUUUGUGUAUUGUCAGGCUGCAUUUGCGUGGUUUGAAUAAAUAAUUCUAAGGGGUCAGACAAUGCUAUGAAGCAAAGGCUUUGUGAUUUUGUUUAUCUUCUUUUCUGCUUCGCAAUUUCCCCUUUGCUUUUCAUUUGUUUAUCUACACUGUGUGUAUUGCCAGGCUGCAUCUGUGUGGCCAGGAUAAAUAAUUCCGCGGGGUCAUGAGGUGCCAUGAAAUGGGUUGGAGGUUCGUCUACGUGUAUUUGUUCUUAAUUUCUCUUCUGCUUCUCAAAUUCCCACUUGAUUUUCAGUUGUUUUUCUACGUUGUGUUUAUUCUUAGGCUUCAUCCGCAUAGCCUAAAUAAAUAAGUUCCAAGGGUCUUGCAAUGCCAUGAAAUUGGUUUGGCUAAGGCGUUAGUUGUAUUCUCUUAUGCUUCUCAAUUUCUCACAUGCUUUUCAUUUGCUUAUCUACUUGGUCUGUAUUGUCGGGCUGCAUUUGAGUGGUUUAAUAAAUAGUUCCAAGGGGUGAGGCAAUACCAUGAAAUGGAUUUGAGCACAUUAUUAUGUUCUUUUUGUUCUCUUCUGCUUCUUUAAUUUCCCAGAUGCUUUUCAUUUGUUUAUUUACAUUUAGUGUAUUGUCAGGCUGCAUCUUGUUGGCCUAAAGAAAUAAUUCCAAUGGUUCAGGCAAUGCUGUGAAGUGGGUUUGAGCUAAGGCUACGUGAUUUUGUUCUUUAUGUUCUCUUCUGCUUCGCAAUUUCCCACAUGCUUUUCAUUUGUUUAUCGACAUUUAUUGUCAGCUUGCAUCUGCGUGGCCUAAAUAAAUAAAAUUUUGAGGGGUCAUGCAAUGCCAUGAAGCUGGUUUGAGCUAGGGCUACGCUAUUUUGUUCUUUAUGUUCUCUUCUGCUUAUCAAUGUCCCAAAUGCCACAGCACAUAGCUUGUAAUUAUGUUCAUCUGUUGUAUAUUUCAUGUGUACUUGGGCCAUGUCUAAUUUGUGGAUAAAUAAAUUAUUCUUAUUUAAAAAAAAUAAAAAAAUUCCCACAUGCUUUUCUGUUUUUUAUCUACAUUUUGUCUAUUGUCAGGCUGAAUCUGCGUGGCUAAAAUAGAUCAUUUCAAUCCAAUGCCAUGCAAUGUGUUUGAGCUAAGUCAUUCCUUUUGUUCUCUUCUGCUUUUCAACUUCCCACAUGCUUUUCAUUUGUUUAUCUACACUGUAUAUUGUCUGGCUGCAUCUGCGUGGCCUAAAUAAAUAAUUCCAAGGGAUCGGGAAAUGCCAGGAAAUGGGUUUUAACUAAGGCGUUCUUUAUGUUCUCAUCUGCUUCUCAAUUUCCCACAUGCUUUUCAUUUGUAUUUUCCAGAAUCCACUUGCAGUUUAUGUUUUUUAUUUUUGUUUGGCUGUUAUCUAAGAGAUUUGCAUGCUUUUUAAGUGUGGUUGCACUUCAUGUUUUUACCAGAAUCCACUUGCACAUUUGCCAUACUUGUUAGACCUUAAGAUGAUAAGCUGUGUCAUUCUGCAUUACAGCCUCAUUGGAUGUUGGGAUUUUUCGUUUGGUAGUUAUGUAAGAGAUUUGGAUAUGCUUAAGUGUGAUUGCGCGCUGAAUGGGAGGGAAGUCAGAAUGGAUUUGAAUUAUUGGAUUGUGUGGGGAUCUUAAUAGGCAUUUAUUGUUGAGAUCAAUCUGGUUAUCUUCUGAUUACAAACAUGGAGCACCGUCCUCAGGUUUACGGUCAGCAUUUACCAAUGUCUCUCUCUAUCUUUAUGAUUGUAUGGCUCGGUAACGUUGAUCGCAGACAAAAUUAUACGAUUUCUUCUUGUAAACGAUUUCAAAUAUGGAGUAUUCUCAUAUUUAUGGCAGGCUGGCUUGGUAACGACGAUCAUUAAUAUAAACUUAUGGUGGCUCUAUGAACUGAAUGCUGACAUGACUAUGGGAAGAGCUUAUUAUCAUCAUUCAAAAUUCAUUGUGUUUGAAAUUGGAGGCUGCAUGUGCACCGUUUAUGUUUGUAGAUCUGAUCAGCAUGUUCGUCCUAGUUCUUUUUACCACCAUCUACUUGCAUGUUCGCAGCUCAUUAGUUGCCGCAAUCUGCAUUUCUGACCUUUUAGCAGGUUAGAGGCGGCUCUCGUGAGUGUUGGGAAAGUAUACACUUGGGUUCCCUUCCUCUUGUAUUGUGUGUAUGGAAGAGUUUGGAUUUCGAAGUUGUAUGGAGUUGUAUUGUUGGCUUUCCGUGAUUUCCAAUCUUGCAAUAAAAUGGUGACCAAGUUUGAUGGGAGCACAAGUAUGCCCAGGAUUUGGUGGCUGCUGCUAGUCUCCAGGACUCUACCCCUCUUGAUACUCCCAUGGAACUUAAUCUCAAGCUGCGCAAAGAAGAGGGUGACUUGUUAUCAUACCCUGUAGCCUAUCAUACGCUGGUUGGCAGGCACAGCUUUGCGGGGACUUUCCUAUCCUAUUGGUACCUCACUUGAUCUUGUAGCAUAUAGUGAUGUUGAUUAUGCCGGGUGUAGUUACACUUGACGUUCGACUAUGAGUUGGUGUAUGUUUCUUGGUUCGGCUCUUAUUUAUUGGAAAUGCAAGAAACAGAACCAUGUUUCUAAAUCCUCUACUGAGUCCGAAUAUAGGGCCAUGUUCCAGGCUUGCGCUGGGAUACUUUGGCUCCGAGGGCUAUUGGCUGAACUUGGCUUCUCUCCAGGUGGUCCUACUUCUCUACUUCUCUUCAUGCGGAUAAUACUAGUGCCAUUCACAUUUCAGGCAAUCCCAUCUUCCAUGAACACACUAAACAUAUCAAGGUUGAUUGCCACUUCAUCCGUGAGGCAUUUGAAGCUCAAACUAUCUCUCCUCCUCAUGUGCCUAGCAAUCUUCAAGUGGCAGAUAUUUUCACCAAGGCUCUCACACUGCAACGGCAUAAUUUUCUUACAAACAUAUUGAUGCUUAUGGAUAACCCGCAUCAAUUUGAGGGGGGAUGUCAAUAGAAGGCCAUAAAUUAUGCCUUGUUAAUAAUUAUUAAUCUAGGUUGUAUAUACUCUCAUAAAUAGGAGAUUUAGCUUACCAUGUAUAGCUUCCUAAAAUCACUCUAUGUAAAUUACCUACCUUACCGUAUAUAGCUCCCUAAGAUCACUCUGUGUAUAUAAUGAAAGACAUUCUCAAAAGAGAGGACAAUUCGAACCAUUCUAUUACUUUUAUGGUUGGCUAGCACAGAAAGCAUGCAUCUUUGGAAAAGUAUUUGAAAAUUGGCAGCUACGUGUGGACUACUUUUUCAAAGCUUAUAUGCUCAUUUGUCCUGGCUCAUCUUUCUCUCUAGCACAAUCUUAUGAUUUAUUUCCUAAAUUUUGGCGGUGUGGUAUAGCUUGUUCUCACAUUGGGUUCCGACAAAGUUGGAAGGAUUUUGUAUUCUAGUUUGGUGACACAGAUAUGUAUUAUUAUCAUUUCCUUUGUGGUUGGUUGCUAGCUAGUUAACAGUGUGUGGCAUGAUCUUUUCCUCUACGGUAGGUUGGCUUCGUAACCAUGGGUGCAGCAGAUAUGUUUUUCUCUUGGGAUGGUUCAUUGCCCAUACGUGAUUUUUUCCGUAGGUUUUUCUGGCAUUGCUACAGAAUUUUAGCGUGGUGGGUUCGCUUGUGCAGAUCUUGUGGUUUUCAUCAAGAGGAGGACAAAUAUGUUUAUCUGCAGUGUGAGAGAGUGGUUUGUUAGAAGUUUCUUCUAUCUCGCUUUCCUCAGGCAAUCUUUCUACUUGUUUGAACAAUUAUUUUUCUUCUUCUGCAAAUUGGUCUAGAGGUUCCUUUCUAGACAUAUGAUUUUUUGAGGAUUAUAAAUUACGAAGUGGUUUUUUGAGGUCUUUGGUCGUGCAGUGCUGGUGACCUUGUAACCUUCUUGGACGACUAAUUUAUCAGAGUUUCUAACCUGGUUCAUGUUUCUAGGUUUUUAUCAAGGUGGAUUCCAGCGAGAUUGGCUUCUCAAUACCAAUUUGGUAAUCUUUCAUAGGAGCAGAAAUUUUUAUCAGUCCUUUCUUUUUUGGUUGGCUAGCAUAGAAAGCAUGACUCUUUGCAAAAGUAUUUGAAACUUGGCGGCUAUGUGUUUACUUUUUGCAAAGCUUAUCAGCUCAUUUGUCCUGGCAUUUGUUUCUACCAGCAUCUACUUGAAUGUGCGCAACUCGUUAUGCGUUAAGAUGAUCGGUUUUUCCAUUCAGUAUGUUGACAUUUUUUGCAGGUUGAAGCUUUAUUCAAGAUUUUGAUUUAUUGUGGUUUGGUUGUUGUCCAAGUGUUGGUGGGUUUGGAAGCGGUUUCACACUGAAUGUUAGGUUCGUAUAUGCUCUGGAUUGUUUCCUCAUGCAUUCUGUAUGGAAGACGUUGGACAUUGAUGUAGCCAAGUUACUGUCCUAAUAAUUUACAAAGAAUGAACUUCUGUCAUGUCUAGUAGAAAGUUUUGAUUAAGCCUCUGUUUAACUGCAGCGAGAGAGAGAGUGAUUUUCUAGAAAUUUUUUCUUCUCUCCUUUUCAUUGGGAACUCUUUCUACUUGUUUGAACAAUUAUUUCUCUACUUGUCCAAUUGGUCUUGAGGGUCAUUUUUAGGCAUAUGAUUUUUUUAGCUCUUUGGUCGUUCUGUGUUGGUGACCUCAUAAUCUUCUUGGACAUCUAAUUUAUCAGAGUUUCUGAUCUAACUAUGGGCAUAAAGGAAAAUCAUCUUUGGGCAGGAAGAAAGCAAGUUUUUUAUUUAUAUGCAUAUCUUUUCCCAAGCUUUUCGUGCACUAACUUGUAGUGCUGGAUUUGUUACAGAAUCUGUUUGUGGCAUUUAUCUUCUAACCUCCUUCCUGGUCAUUGAAGAAUUGCUUACUAGGUGCUUAAAACGUUUAAAAAUUGCAAUGGUUAGGUUUGUACUUAAGGCACCAAGGGCCCUUUGGGGGAUGGGGGGCCUACAACAUUUUUGCACAUUCGGUUGGCUUGUGCAGAUUUGUUAUGUGUUCUUCUAUGGGAGUUCAAGUAAGUACACCUUUUUUUUAUGCUUGGACGGCUUGGUUGAGCACAAUUUUUUUUUUCUCUAGCACAAUCCUAUGAUUUAUUUUGUAAAUUUUGCAGUUCUAGUAUAGCUUGAUUUCAUGUUGGGUUCCACCAAAGUUGGCUGUCCAAGAAGGAUUUGGUAUUCUUCCAUGGAAAUAUGGAUAUGUAUUACUAUCAUUUCAUUUUUUCGUUUGUUGCUGGCAGGUUACCAGUGUUACAUGAUCUGUUCCUCUAUGGUAGGUCGGCUUUGUGGCCGUGGGAGCAGAUAUGUUUUUCUCUCAGGAUGGCUCCUGUUCCAUACGUGAUUUUAUACAUAAAUUUUUCUGGCAUUGCUACAGAAUUUUAGCGAGGUGGAUUUGUCCAGAUCUAUUGGUUUUCAUCUAUAGGAGUACAAGUACAUACACACUCUUACAGCUUAAAUGUCUUAGUGACCUAAACCACAUAUAAGUUUAUUUGACAUAAGAUGAUGUGUUUGAUUUAUUUCAUACAUUUGUUAGUGGAGUACUGCCAUUUUCCAAGGUGGGCUCCAGUAUAGUUGGCAUCUCGAGAAGGAUUUGGAAUUCUUCUAUCAGAACAAAGAUAUGUAUUACUGUAAUUUCUAAACCUAUUAAAAUCAUGAUGACCUUGAAUAUAACCUGUUGAAUUGAAAUUAAUAGGCCCAACUUGAGCGAGAGUGUUGUGUUCACUAAAUAUUUCUGCUGACCCGCCAACUCCAAACUGAGACAGGUUUCACAGAGCAAAGAAAACUGCCUGUUCUCAACAGUGGAAGGAUAUGGGCACAGCUGCAUGUCUAAUAACCUAACAUACAUUUUGUAAAUACUUACAAAAAAAAAAAUUUAAAUUGAUAGUAUUUGGAAGGGGGUGGCUAUAUCCACGCGGUAUAUUUUUGCAGCAACAAUCAGCGUGUUGAUCUUGGUUCUUGUUUCUAGAUUUUCAUCACAGUGUAUUCCAGCGAAGUUGGCUUCUCCAUACCAAUUUGGUAUUAUUUUAUAGAAGCAUAAAUUUUUAUCACUGACCUUUCUUUUAUGGUUGGCUAGCAUGGAAAGCAUGGAUCUUUGGAAAAGUAUUCGAAAAUUGGCAGUUGCAUGUGGACUACUUUUUCAAAGCUUUAUCAGCUGAUUUGUUGUGGUUCAUCUUUCUCUCUAGCACAAUCCUAUGAUUUAUUUCCUAGAUUUUGGCAGUGCGGUAUAGCUUGUUUUCACAUUGGGUUCAGGAAAAGUUGACUAUCCAAGAAGGAUUUUGUAUUCUGCUCUAGUGACAUAGAUAUGUAUUACUAUCAUUUCCUUUGUGGUUGGUUGCAAGCAGGUUACCAGUGUGUGACAUGAUCUUUUCCUUUAUGGUAGGUUGGCUUUGUAACCAUGGGUGCAGCAAAUAUGUUUUUCUCCUAGGAUGGUUCCUUGUCCAUGCGUGACUUUUUUCCGUAGAUUUUUUUCUGGUAUUGCUACAGAAUUUUAGUGUGGUUGGUUCGCCUGUGCAAAUCUUGUGGUUUUCAUCUAUAGGAGGACAAAUAUGUUUAUCUGCAGCGAGAGAGAGUGAUUUGCUGGAAGUUUCUUCUAUCUCACUUUCCUUAGGCAGUCUUUCUACUUGUUUGAACAAUUACUUUUCUUCUUAUGCAAAUUGGUCUAGAGGUUCCUUUCUAGGCAUAUGAUUUUUUAAGGAUUAUAAAUUACGAAGUGGUUUUUUGAGGUGUUUUGUCGUGCAGUGAUGGUGACCUCAUAACCUUCUUGGACAACUAAUUUUUCAGAGUUUCUGAGCUGGUUCCUGUUUCUAGGUUUUUAUCAGGUGGAUUCCAGAGAAGUUGGUUUCUACAUACCAAUUUGGUAAUCUUUCAUAGGAGCAGAAAUUUUUAUCAUUAUCCUUUCUUCUUUGGUUGGCUAGCAUGGAAAGCAUGAAUCUUUGGGAAAGUAUUCGAAACUUGGUGGUUGUCUAUGGACUACUUUUUGUAAAGCUUAUCAGCUCAUUUGUCCUGGCUCAUGUUUCUACCAGCAUCUACUUGAAUGUGCACAACUCGUUAUGCGUUAAGAUGACUGGUUUUACCAUUUAGUAUUUUGACAUUUUUUGAAGGUUGGAGCUUUAUGCAAGAUUUUGAUUUAUUGUGGUUUGGUUGUUGUCCAAGUGUUGGUGGCUUUGGAAGCGGUUUCACAUUGAAUGUUAGGUUCGUAUAUGCCUGGGAUUGUUUCCUCAUGCAUUCUAUAUGGAAGACUUUGGACAUUGCUGUAGCCAAGUUACUGUCUUAAUGAUUUACAAAGAAUAAACUUAUGUCAUGUCUUGUAGAAAAUUUUGAUUAAGCCUCUGUUUAACUGUAACGGGAGAGAGUGAUUAUCUGGAAAUUUUUUCUUCUCCUUUUCAUUGGGAACUCUUUCUACUUGUUUGAACAAUUAUUUCUCUACUUGUCCAAUUGGUCUUGAGGGUCAUCUUUAGGCAUAUGAUUUUUUGAGUUCUUUGGUCGUUUUGUGUUGGUGACCUCAUAACUUUCUUAGACAACUAAUUUAUCAGAGUUUCUGACUUCAUUACGGUCAUAAAGGAAAAUCAUCUUUGGGCAGGAAGAAAGCAGGUUUUUUAUUUAUGCUUCUGUAGCUGAGAUGCGUAUCUUUUCCCAAGCUUUUCAUGCCCCAACUUGUAUUGCUGGAUUCGUUUCAUAAUCUGUGUCAGAUAUUUGCUUACCUCCUUCCUGGCAAUUGAAGAAUUGCUUACUAGGUGCUUAAAACGUUUAAAAAUUGCAAUGGUUGGGUUUGUAUUGAAGGCACCAAGGGCCCUUUGGGGGGUGGGGGGGCUACAGCAUUUUAGCAUAUUCGGUUGGCUUGUGCGGAUCUGUUAUGUUUUCUUCUAUAGGAGUUCAAGUAUGUACACCCUUUUUUUAUGCUUGGCCGGCUUGUUUGAGCACAAAUAACUUUUUUUUCUCUAGCACAAUCCUAUGAUUUAUUUCGUAAAUUUUGCAGUUGUGGCACAGCUUGUUUUCACAUUGGGUUCCAGGUUGGCUGUCCAAGAAGGAUUUGGUGUUCUUCUAUGGGAAUAUGGGUUGGCUUCAUGGCCAUGGGUACAGAUAUGUUUUUCUCUUAGGACGGCUCCUGUUCCAUAAGUGAUUUUAUAAGUAAACUUUUCUGGCAUUGCUACAGAAUUUUAGCAGGGUGGGUUCACUUGUCCAGAUCUAUUGGUUUAUAUCUGUAAGAGUGAAAUACAUACACGCUCUUGCAGCUUAAAUGCUUAGUGACCUUAAACCACUUCCAUACGUGAUUUUAUAAGUAAACUUUUCUGGCAUUGCUACAGAAUUUUAGCAGGGUGGGUUCACUUGUCCAGAUCUAUUGGUUUAUAUCUGUAAGAGUGAAAUACAUACACGCUCUUUCAGCUUAAAUGCUUAGUGACCUUAAACCACUUAUCUGGCAUACGAUGCUGCGUUUGAUUUAUUUCAUAGAUUUGUUGUUGGAGUACUGCCAUUUUCCACGGUGGGCUCUAGUAUAGUUGGCAUCUCAAGAAGGAUUUGGAAUUCUUCUAUCAGAAUAGAGAUAUGUAUUACUAUCAUUUCAUUGUUUCAUAUUUAUUUCAUUCCAUCUGGUGGUUUUUUUUUUUUUUUUUUUCCUUUUACCUCUCAUUGGUUGGCUACAUUUUUGUUUUUGGUAUCAGUUGCAGAAAUGGUUCUAGAUAUCAAUUUAUAUGGUAACGUUUGAUGCGGCUUAA